rnacentral:rRNA from 1 species
GACGGAGGGCGCGAGCGUUGUUCGGAAUCACUGGGCGUAAAGCGCGCGCAGGCGGGCCGUACAAGUCGGAAGUGAAAUCCCGGGGCUCAACUCCGGGACUGCUUCCGAAACUGUCGGCCUGGAGACCGGUAGAGGUGGGUGGAAUUCCCGGUGUAGCGGUGGAAUGCGUAGAGAUCGGGAAGAACACCUGUGGCGAAGGCGGCCCACUGGGCCGGUUCUGACGCUGAGGCGCGAAAGCGUGGGGAGCAAACAGG